rnacentral:lncRNA from 1 species
AAGAUGAUUUGAGAACACUCAGAGAAGGUGACAUGAGCACACCCAGAGCAGGGGAGGGAACACUCAGAGAAGGUGAGGGAACACUCAGCUAAGGUUAUAUGAGAACACCCUGAGCAGGAGAUAUGAGAACACUCAGAGAAGGUGAUAUGAGAACACUCAGAGAAGGUGAUAUGAGAACACUCAGAGCAGGUGAGGGUACACUCAGAGCAGGUGAGGGUACACUCAGAGCAGGUGAUAUGAGAACACUGAGAGCAGGUGAGGGAACACUCAGAGCAGGUGAUAUGAGAACACUCAGAGCAGGUGAGGGAACAUUCGGAGCAGGUGAGGGUACACUCAUAGCAGGUGCUAUGAGAACACUCAGAGAAGGUGAGGGAACACUCGGAGCAGGGGAUAUGAGAACACUCAGAGAAGGUGAUAUGAGAACACUCAGAGAAGGUGGGGGAACACUCAGAGAUGGUGAUAUGAGAACACUCAGAGAAGGUGAUAUGAGAACACUCAGAGAAGGUGAUAUGAGAACACUCAGAGAAGGUGAUAUGAGAACACUCAGAGCAGGUGAUAUGAGAACACUCAGAGAAUGUGGGGGAACACUCAGAGAAGGUGAUAUGAGAACACUCAGAGAAGGUGGGGGAACACUAAGACCAGGUGAUAUGAGAACACUCAGAGCAGGUGAUAUGAGAACACUCAGAGAAGGUGAUAUGAGAACACUCAGAGAAGGUAUAUGAGAACACUCAGAGAAGGUAUAUGAGAACAAU